GAUAAGGUUAAGUGAAUAAGGGCGCACGGUGGAUGCCUUGGCACUAGGAGCCGAUGAAGGACGGGACUAACACCGAUAUGCUUUGGGGAGCUGUAAGUAAGCUAUGAUCCAGAGAUUUCCGAAUGGGGGAACCCAAUAUCUUUUAUAGGAUAUUACUUUUCAGUGAAUACAUAGCUGAUUAGAGGUAGACGCAGAGAACUGAAACAUCUUAGUACCUGCAGGAAGAGAAAGAAAAUUCGAUUCCCUGAGUAGCGGCGAGCGAAACGGGAAGAGCCCAAACCAACAAGCUUGCUUGUUGGGGUUGUAGGACUCCAAUAUGGUAGUCUGUUAGUAUAGUUGAAGGAUUUGGAAAAUUCCGCUAAAGAGGGUGAAAGCCCCGUAGACGAAAUGCUAACAACACCUAGGAGGAUCCUGAGUACGGCGGAACACGAGAAAUUCCGUCGGAAUCCGCGGGGACCAUCCCGCAAGGCUAAAUACUCCCUAGUGACCGAUAGUGAACCAGUACCGUGAGGGAAAGGUG
rnacentral:rRNA from 1 species